AAUAAUGCAGUUACUGAGAGACAACUUG
rnacentral:piRNA from 1 species